rnacentral:rRNA from 2 species
CAGUCGAACGGUAAGGCCCCUUCGGGGGUACACGAGUGGCGAACGGGUGAGUAACACGUGGGUGAUCUGCCCUGCACUCUGGGAUAAGCCUGGGAAACUGGGUCUAAUACCGGAUAUGAGCUCCUGUCGCAUGGCGGGGGUUGGAAAGGUUUACUGGUGCAGGAUGGGCCCGCGGCCUAUCAGCUUGUUGGUGGGGUAAUGGCCUACCAAGGCGACGACGGGUAGCCGGCCUGAGAGGGCGACCGGCCACACUGGGACUGAGACACGGCCCAGACUCCUACGGGAGGCAGCAGUGGGGAAUAUUGCACAAUGGGCGAAAGCCUGAUGCAGCGACGCCGCGUGAGGGAUGACGGCCUUCGGGUUGUAAACCUCUUUCAGCAGGGACGAAGCGAGAGUGACGGUACCUGCAGAAGAAGCACCGGCCAACUACGUGCCAGCAGCCGCGGUAAUACGUAGGGUGCGAGCGUUGUCCGGAAUUACUGGGCGUAAAGAGCUCGUAGGCGGUUUGUCGCGUCGUCCGUGAAAACUUGGGGCUCAACCCCAAGCUUGCGGGCGAUACGGGCAGACUUGAGUACUGCAGGGGAGACUGGAAUUCCUGGUGUAGCGGUGAAAUGCGCAGAUAUCAGGAGGAACACCGGUGGCGAAGGCGGGUCUCUGGGCAGUAACUGACGCUGAGGAGCGAAAGCGUGGGUAGCGAACAGGAU